UUUAUAUCCAAUCAGAUGGUUUUUGUCAUUUUUAUUGGGAACUACUGUUUUUGUUUCUCUAGGUUGUUUAUGGGGCUCUCUUCUUGAAAAUUAGUAUUGCUUUACAAAAGUCUGCCUCUACAAACAGUGUUUCCCUAGGGCUGGAAGGGGAGAGGAGAAGUUCAGAAAAGAGAGCAAGCAGAGCUACAGCUGCACAUGAGGCACAUGACCUUUGCUCCAUAACAGUAAGACUGAAUGGUGGAGAAAAGAAGGCAUACCAGCUAGGACCUUAGGAUCCAAAGAGGAAGACAAAGCAUCCUAAAUUCAGGUACCAAUAUGACUCUUUUCAUGUACGUCAGGGGAAACCGUCACACCCAGCUCCAAAGAAAGGCUGUUUUGAAUUAGGAAUAAUACCAUGUCCCUUGAUACAUUACUGAUGCUGAAACUCAGAGCUAAGCUGAUCUGCACAUGACAUUCCUUUGGCCCCAGGGAUUGUUCAGGAAGAACCUAUUAAACCUGUUUGAGCUGAUAAGAAAUGAGAAGAGACAUGAAAAAACUCCUGAGAAAGAGUUUGCCUUGUUCUUACAAGAGAAUCACAGGAAGAAAUUCUCUUUCUCUGGGCAUUGAGGAUGGCAGAUGUGAAGGGAGCAUUUUGCCAUGAGAAAAGCCAGUGCAAGGAUGGAUCCAACAAACAGAGGAAGAACACUCCUGACAGGCCACACUAGGCUGAACCCGAAGCCUGCCCCUCUCGAGGCUUCCAUUGUGUGGACCCAAUGAAUUCCCAGUUACAUGAGCCAGUAAAAACUAAGUGAAGUUUGAUCUUCUAUUACUUUUGGACAAACAUAUCUUACCAAAAAGGUGAGUUAAUUUUAAUCUUAUUUCACUUUCAAAAUAUUUUAAAGUUAAAAAAAAUUUUUUACAAGCAAGUAUGUGAUAAAAUUCAAGCAGCAGAGAAGGACAGUCAAAGAAAAUGACCAUCUCAUUUCAGACAU